GUCAGGAACCCGCGUGCUAACGGAGCGCACUGGCAACGCCUCCCUUCUGUUUUAGCGACGCGCUCUGGCCGCCCGCAAACUUCAAUUCCCACGUUCCUUUGCGCCCGAAUCCCCAAGCAAAGCACAGGGCCGUGGAGCAGUGCACGCCGGGCGUUGUAGUCCAGCAGCGAGGAGCACUCUCCGGUCUUCUCAGCCCUCUCUGCGAGGUACUCCAGCCUCCAACAAGUUUCUUGGCUGGGAUUGCUAAUGCUGGGAACUGCAAGAUCUAGAUUGGCCUCAUCUAUUGUACCUGUCAGUGUGCAAGCAGGUGGGGAGAACUGUUCCAUGUCCAUUCAAGACUAGGGCUUGUGGAGCUCAAUCAUCUGGAAACUCCCCAGUCACCAUGACAAGAGAAAGAUGAUGCAGAAUCACAGUCCAGUCCUUAAGGCUUCUAACAGAAGGAAACAGAGCAAUUGCAAAACAGAAGAUAAGAGAAGAAGAGCUGAAAUCCUAAAGAUUGGUUAAAGUAUUGUAUAAGGAGCUGCAGAGAACCACCUCCUCUUCCAGUCUUCAUCUGCAUUAUAUGCAGCUAGACAUUUUUAUCCCAGCCCUGGCAAGAAAUGUAUUCUAUGGGAAAAUUGGACAGAAGUUUAGGAAUUUGAGGACAUUCAACAUAAUAUAGGUUGGGUCUAAUAUAGACAGAACACAGAUUGUUAAGUGAAAGUGGGCUGAAUUUACCCCAUCUUAUUCCAGAAAUCCCCAUAACUUUUCCGCAGGACACUGGAAGAUACUUCUGAAGAAAAACUCGAAAGUCUCAGAGGAAAAACAUACAGAUACUGACAUUUGAAUGUCCCUCUGAUGAAAAGCUGGCCUUCUGCCUGAUUACACUUACUAAAGCCCACUAGUCAUCGAAACUCACUCACACCAAGCUUCCCGUAAACAUUUAAGGGCUUCUCUUGUAAAUAUGCAUUGAUAUUUGUGGAAAACAUCCAGCUUGAAAGACAGAAAGAACAAAACAAGCAGAUGAAAGGGAUUCGUGGAAAAAGAGAGACAUUGUAGGGAAUAGAAAACUUCCAAUUAAUUAUAAUUAAUAUCUGCAAAGAAGAGAAGAGAUUAUAUCACUAAAACAAGACUUACUUUGAACAAGAUGUUAUAGAGAGAACAAAUAGAAACUAAGAGCUCUUAGAAAUUAAAAAUGUCAGAUGAAAUUAAAACAAAAUUUAGAAAAAAUAUUGAGAAAUGAAGAUGAGAUUUCUUUGAAGGAGUACCUAAAAACUUAUGGAAACAGGUCAUAGGAAGUAAGAAAAUUUCAAGAUCAAUCCAGGAGGUCCAACAUUUGACUGACAUGAGUUUCAGAGAGAGAUUAAACAGACAGGAUAGGGUAUUUUCAAAGAAAUAAUGAAAGAAAAGUUCCCAAACUGAGAGAAAUAAGGUUCCAAAUUAGGUCGUUUCAUUCUAAGACAUAUAAUAAUGACAUUUGAGGACCCUAGAAAUACUUAGAAGGUUCAAGAAACUUCCCAAGAAUGAGAAAUAGAUGAUGGCAAUGGAUAAUCAAAAGAGCAUUGUGAUUUCUAAACAGAUAACAAUGGAAUAAUGUUUUCAAAAUCAUAACUGAAAAUGAUCUCCAACCUAGAACUCUGAAAUGUGUCAAACUAUCACUCAGUUAUGCAAACUGAAUGGAUUUUCAGGCUUGCAAAACUUCAAAAUGCUGACCUCCUAUGUAUCCCUUUUCAAGAUACUACUGGAAGAUAAUGUUUCCUUGUAACAAAGGGGGCAAGUGAUCUAGGAAAUGGGAAUCCAACACAAAAGAAAGGUCAAAGACUUUUCCUAAAUUGAAGACAGGGCAGGCACAGAUAAAAGCUGACAGCAGACUCAGAAAGCAACAAGUCUUUGCAAAUGCAAGUAGGAUGAUGGAGGCAUCCAACAAAGAAGCAGAAAUUAUGUAACAGGUUUGACCUAUGGGGAAUUGAAAAUUCCAAGGCUACCAGAGGGAGCAAGGAUUAUUAGCAAUAGGUAUAAAAGUAAUUUAGAAAAUAGAAAGACCCUUAAAUGUCUGUGACUUCUAAUUUUUACAUUUUUUCUGCCUAUAGUGAUAACUGGCAGAGAAGGAUCUCAAUGAAUGCUUGCUAAAUAGAUGGAGGAAUGAAUGCAUGAAUGAAUGAUAAUUAUAAUAAACUUUGUGCCUUCCUCCAUCAUCACCCAUGAAGUCACUUGACCAUAUACAAACUCUAAGAAUGUUUAUUAAAUUGUACAAAUGUAAAUUGUUUACUUAAUCAUAUGCUAAUUCCUUUAUAUUAAUCAGAAUUCUAAGUUCUGAAGGAGAGAAAUUAAAUUAAAAUUUGUGUGAUCAAAGAAGCAAAUUUGUUACAAUUUUGAAAAAGUCCAGAUAGUAAUUUUCUUUUUGGUUGUUUUCCUUCUCAGGUCAAAUCUCCCCACGUACUCACAAAGGUGUUUAGAAGUAGUUGUAAACUUAGCCCCCAGACUAGUAACACCUCUUUUUAAAUAAUUACUCAAGAUCUCAGAGCUGAUUCAGAUUAUUGAGCCAAUUAUUAUGGUCCAAGGAAGUGGAAUAUUCUGAUUGGUUAGGACUGGGUCACAUGUUCAACUCUAGAAUCAUGGGUCAGCUUCAUCCAAACUGCACUAACUCAAAACGAAGGGAAACAUCAGUGCCCUGUUACCAGAAAGGGGGAAUAUAGGUCCAUAGACAGGCAAAAAUAAAGAGUAAUUUCACUGAAAAAGAAAAACACCUACAUUACCCUUACUUACUAGAAAGACUUCUAGAGAGAAACAGACAUUGUCAAUGGAUGGGGAAUAAAGAGAGCACUAGGGGUCCUCAACUGGUAACAGUGGAGCAGUAUCUUCAAAAUUAUAACUGAAAAGGAUCUUCAACCUAGAAUUGUGAAAUGUGUCAAGCCAUCAGUCAAUUCUGCAAAGUGUCCUCCAGAUAAACCUUUCAAAAUAGAAAAUUGCAUCUAGAAUACUUGUUAAACAUGACUUCCUGUGUCCUUAUAUUUCAUCCCUGAGCACUCUAACUUCUUGGCAUUGGAAAUUGUAUGUCAGUACUGUUCAGUGGAAUUAUAAUGUAAGACUCAAAUAGGACUGUAAAUUUUCUAGUAGCUACUUUUGAAAAGUAAAAGCGCAAUGGAUUUUAAUAUUACUUAAUUCCAUAUAUCUAAAACACUAUCAUUUCAACAUAUAGCCAUAUAAAACUUAUUCAUGAAUGAUUUUGUACUUUUUUCUGUAGUCCUUAAAAUUCUAUGUGUGUUUUACACUUGCAGCACAUUCCAAUUCAGAUUAGGCACAUUUUAUAGUCAUAGUGGAUAGAGACUACCCUAUUGGCCAGAGAAGUUCUGGAAUGUAUAAGCUAUAAUAUACUACCAAGUAGUUUUCUUUUCUCCCUGUUUCAACUAAUUUCAUCUCUCAUCCCUUUUCAUUCUCUCAUCUUUCUUUCUCCAGUCAAAUAGCACAAAGCUAAUGCAUUCAGAGUCUUACAAUUUUAAAAAGGGAAUAAGAAGAAGCAUUAACAUGUUUUCUACUUUUCAAGAAUAAGAGAUGAAAUAAAAUGGCAACUCACACUGGUGCUUUCAUUCAGUGUGAGUUACAGCAAUAUGAAACAGAUGAUCACAUCUUGAUGACAAUUAUGGUACUACUUGGCAGGAAUAAGUGAAGAAAGAAUUUGGCUUGGUAGCAUUAAAUAGCUGCCCAGAUAGAGUCUACAAAGAAUAGGGAGAGCAAUAAGAAUCAAGUUACCCAUAUGUGGCUAAUGAACUAGUUGCAUCAUGCUGUUGGGGGGAAUCUCAGAUAGAAUACCUGUGAGCACACCUUAAUUCCUGAAAGAGGCCUGGUUUGCACACAUUCACAUUUGAGAAUAAAUCCUCAGAUGUACUCUUUUUUACACUUUUAAAAAACAGGCUUUUUCUAUCAUGAAUCCCAAGAUCCAAGAGUUUAUUUUGGCACUUUGAGUAUUAUGUAAGACUUAUUGCUGAAGCAGCAUUUUGAUUUAGAGAAUUAGUUUUCAAGCACUCCUUAAGUUAAGAAAGACAAAAAAAAUCCUAAAAUAAAAAGCGCUCCAAAAUGUCAAAUACUUUGGCAUGGAUUUUUCAUCAUUUUCUCAGUUCAAGCAAAACUGCAUAUAUAUUAAAAUGUGAAAGAUUUCUAUUUUGCAAAUUUCGUAUGAUGAGAAUUUAUAUACAGCUUUAAAGUCCUGUUUGUUUUCAUAGAUAUAACUUAAACAACUUGCAUUUGUAUCAAUUGGGUGAUUUAAUUUUAAAAUGUCAAUAUUUAAGAUGUAUACUCUAUUGUAGAAUAUAUCUUUUAGAUGGAAAAACAACACCUCACACAAAAAAUUCAGCAAACAUUUUUUUCACAUAAUAUUGGUCAAGUGCUACACUAGGUAUUGGGUCUUUAGUGAAAAGAUACAGAAUUGGUGAUCAUGGUCUAUGUCCAUAGUGUUUUUUGCAAAGCAUUUAUACACCAUUCUUUUAGUAUCUCUGAGUUUCUCUGACUUUUCUCUGAUGACCAUUCCUUCUCCUAGUUUCACUUUAUCUGCUUCCUAUGGAAUUGACUCCAUCCCUGACUACAGAUUUUCAGUUGCAUUAGGACUUUCCAAUGAGAAAAUUGCAUUUCCUGAUUGGCUGGAAGAUAUGCACAGUAGCUACUCAAAAUCAUGAAACACAUGAGACUUGGGAAGAGACUGUUGCUCUUUUCCAUUAAAUGUGCAGCAACUAUCUUGUGAUUAUAUGGAGUUUGAGAGCCAAAUCAACACCAAGGAGCAGAGCUCACCAAAUGAGAGAGAAAAACCAAAUCUUUAGCAAGCUCAUCUGAAACCAUUGACUUUAAACUAAAGGAUGAGAAGAAGGAGUCAAUGGAAUGAAGACAAAUAGGUAGAGGGGAGAGAAUGUUGAAGUUUAAGUGAGGACAUAGAAUUUCAGCUAGUUAAUAUUAGACUAAAGGCAGAUGCAUCAUAAUGAAUGUGGAAAACUUCAGUUUUGGGAGGCAUUAAAUGAGACCGAUAGAGUGAUGGCAAAUGCUAUAGUUUGGAUAUCUCCGCCAAAGUCCCAUGUGUUAAAGACUUGGUCCCCAGCCUGUGUUUUUACUGGGAUGUGGUAUAACCUUUAAGAGGUAGGGCCUAGUGAGAGGAAGUUAGAUAACUAAGGACACACCCUUGGAGGAGAUUUUGAGACCCCAAGCCCUUUUACUCUCUCUCUGAUUCUCCACUGCUAUGAAGAAAACAGGACUCCUCUGCCACAUUCUCUUGACAUGAUGUACCGUGCAGCAGGGUCAAGUGACCAUGAACUAAAACUUUUGAAAC